rnacentral:tRNA from 2 species
GCAUGGUUGGCAGAGCGGCGAUUGCGGCAGAUUGUAGAUCUGUUUUCCGAAAGGAACACGGAGGUUCGAGUCCUUCACCAUGCA